GAUGAAGAACGUAGCGAAAUGCGAUACUUGGUGAGAAUUGCAGAAUCCCGUGAACCAUCGAGUCUUUGAACGCAAGUUGCGCCCGAAGCCAUUAGGCCGAGGGCACGCCUGCCUGGGCGUCACACGUCGUUGCCCCCCCAUCUACUCCUUCGGGAUUGCGGGGGGCGGAUGAUGGCCUCCCGUGCGCCUCGUCGCGCGGUUGGCAUAAAUGCCAAGUCCUCGGCGACGCACGCCACGACAAUCGGUGGUUGCGAAACCUCGGUUGCCCGUCGUGUGCGGUCGUCGCGCAUCGAGGGCUCGAAAAAAUUGCCGGGCUCCGGCUCGGCUUUCAACGCGACCCCAGGUCAGGCGGGGUUACCCGCUGAAUUUAAGCAUAUCAAUAAGCGGAGGA
rnacentral:misc_RNA from 1 species